rnacentral:lncRNA from 1 species
AUGGCGCCCGGCGCCCUCCGCCUCCCCCCCCCGCGCGCCGCCAUUUUGUCUCCUCCUCCACACACUCUCCGAACCCCCUUCGGCCGGGCCCGGGGCCUGGCACCGACCUCGCCCGCCUCCCCUCGGGCCCGCAACCUCCCCCCUCGGCUCCCGCCCCCCUCCCGCCGCCGUCUCCGCCGUCCGGGGCCGCCCCGGGCGCGCGGAAAACGCCGUCCCGAGCGGUGCGGCCCGCUGUGGUGCCGGAGCCCUGGCGCGGCCUACCUGCGGCCUCCUCGGGGCCUGCGCCGCGGCCUGCUGCGGGCAGGGGAAGGCCCGGGCCGGGCCGGGCGGCGGGGCCCGCUCCCGGGCUGCUUACCGUGCGGGUGGCGGGCGGCGGCGCUCGGCUCGGCGCGGCCUCUCUCAGCGCGACUGGGCCGAGCGCGGCGGCGGCUGCGGCGGGGCGGGCGGGCGGGAGGGGAGGGAGGGGCCGAGCUCGGAGCUGAGUGGAAGCGGCCAAGCUCCCCGGGCCGGGCCCGCCGUCAGCACGUCACGUCACUGCCCGAGAGAGACCCAGGAAAAGGCGGAAGGGAGCGCGCCGCCGCCGCUGCCCGCCGUCUCGGGCCAGCCGUCCGCCGGGGCCUGUGCCGGGCGCGGCGCGGGAAAGGGUGGCGGCGGCGGCGGUGGCGGCGGGAGGGGGAGGCGCGGCGCGGCGGCGCUGGGCUCCCCGCGGCUCCUCCUGCCGCCGCCUCCGCCGCCGCUCGGCCGCCAAGCGCCGCUCGGGGCUCCGUUUGCGCUCCCGCAGCGGAGCUACGGUCCCGGGGACCCCCUCCCGACCCGGCCCCAACAUACUGGAGCCUCCCCCGCCCUAAGGCCGCUAUCCCGCGGUGCAGGCCCGCGGCCCGGCCCGGCCCGGCCUUGUUGUGGCGCGGCCCGACAGGCCCAGCUCCGCAGUCGGCCUGGCCGAGGCGUCCCGGGGUGCGGAUGUGUGGGGAUUUUGGGGCGCCGAGAUGGAGCGAUGGGUGUUAG